rnacentral:rRNA from 1 species
GACGAACGCUGGCGGUGUGCUUAACACAUGCAAGUCGAACGGAAAGGCCCUGCUUUUGUGGGGUGCUCGAGUGGCGAACGGGUGAGUAACACGUGAGUAACCUGCCCUUGACUUUGGGAUAACUUCAGGAAACUGGGGCUAAUACCGGAUAGGAGCUCCUGCUGCAUGGUGGGGGUUGGAAAGUUUCGGCGGUUGGGGAUGGACUCGCGGCUUAUCAGCUUGUUGGUGGGGUAGUGGCUUACCAAGGCUUUGACGGGUAGCCGGCCUGAGAGGGUGACCGGCCACAUGGGGACUGAGAUACGGCCCAGACUGCUACGGGAGGCAGCAGUGGGGAAUAUUGCACAAUGGGCGGAAGCCUGAUGCAGCAACGCCGCGUGCGGGAUGACGGCCUUCGGGUUGUAAACCGCUUUCGCCUGUGACGAAGCGUGAGUGACGGUAAUGGGUAAAGAAGCACCGGCUAACUACGCG